GAUGAACGCUGGCGGCGUGCCUAAUACAUGCAAGUCGAGCGAACGGACGAGGAGCGUGCUCCUCUGAUGUUAGCGGCGGACGGGUGAGUACCACGUGGAUAACCUACCUAUAAGAAUGGGAUAACUUCGGGAAACCAGAGCUGAUACCGGAUAAUAUUUUGAACAGCAUGGUUCCAGAGUACAAGACCAUCUUGCUGUCACUUAUAGAUGGAACCGCGCUGCAUGAGCUAGUUGGUAAGGUAACGGCUUACCAAGGCAACGAUGCAUAGCCGACCUGAGAGGGUGAUCGGCCAGACGGGAACUGAGACACGGUCCAGACUCCUAAGGGAGGCAGCAGUAGGGAAUCUUACGCGAGGGGGGAGAGCCUGACGGAGCACCGCCGCGUGAGUGAUGAAGGUCUGCGGAUGGUAAAACUCUGUUAUUCGGGAAGACCAAAAGUGUAAGUAACUGUGAACAUCUUGACGGUACCUAAACAGAAAGCCACGGCUAACUACGUG
rnacentral:rRNA from 1 species